rnacentral:rRNA from 1 species
UACCCGCGGCCCGAGUGGUGGUCGUUAUUAUUGAGCCUAAAAAGUUCGUAGCCGGCCCAAUAAAUUCCCGGGUAAAUCGUAUGGCUUAACCAUGCGAAUUCCAGGAAGACUGUUGGGCUCGGGACUGGGGGAAGCCUAGGGUAUUCCCGGGGUAGGGGUAAAAUCCUAUAAUCCCGGGAAGACCACCAGUGGCGAAGGCGCUAGGCUAGAACAGAUCCGACGGUGAGGAACGAAGGCUAGGGAAGCAAACGGG